CCCGGCAGAAAUAUCAUUUCUUUUUUCUCCAACUAGUCAUCUUCCCCAGCUCUCUACCUCUCUCUCUCUCUCACUGUCACUGGUAUGCUCAGCCACGAACAGAACCAACUCCAUCUCUCUCUCCCUAACUACAGAGCAGGUCGCCGCCGGCUCGAUCUGCCACUUCCGGACAUCUCCGGCGACACCGUGGACACCCACAGAAUCCCCUCGACUACCUCUACCAUAUCCCCCCAUUUAUUUGAUCCGCCGCCGCCAAAAUCGCCGCCACCCUCAAACCCCAGCGUCGUCUGCAUCGGGUCCGAUGGGUUCACCACGGGCCGCAGUAGCAAUGGCAUAUCCCUGCCUACAACCUCCUCCAGCAGAUCUGCACGCACGAGGCAUGCAACUACGGCCGUCGGGAGCGAGCAUCUUAACCGGCGCGGCUCCGGCAACAUGGCCGCUACCGGCGCCUGGCUCGCCUUUGUCUACUGCUACUAGUUAACUAGAGUCCAAAAGAUCAGGUGUUCAUGUUCUAAGCAAAGAUGAAGAUGGAUCAAGCAAACAAAGCUGCAAAAGCAAGGCACUUGAAUAGUACCUGAUGGCAACUCAGCAUCCGACCAAAAGAGUGGAUGGGGAUGGUGGGGAGAGCUUGGUUCUCUCUUGUGCGUGUUGUGUGCAGUAGAGGAAGUCAAAGGUGAAAGGAGGAGGCUGCUAUUUAUAGUAGUGUAGGGUGCUAGGUCGGUUUGGUAAAAGAGAGAUGUGGCUGACAUGCAUGGUUGCAUGAGCAUGCAAGCCUCCACAUGUAAUCAUGUGAGUUGUACAACGGACAAGUGUAUAGUGCAUGGUUCGACACGAGAUGGCAUAUAAUUUGUGUGUAAGGAAUGAGACAAGGGCCUAAUUAUAAAUCUGCAAACAAUAAGGGAGUUGGAGAAGAACCAUUGUACAUGGCUAAAUACUAACUUUUUUGGUUGCAAUAAAUUUUUGAUAUUAGUGUUGUGGUCAA